ACCCACCUCUACUCUACUGGAAUCCACUGAGAAGACUACUGGUGUGUAACCAUGCUGAAGGCUGUGUUUAUUCUGGGAUGUCUCCUGUCUGUGGCUCUGGCCUCCAGUGAAGACAGCGGGGACAGCGAGGCAACUGGGGAUAUUGAUCCCACCCUCUUACAGGCCUUGGUUGAUCUGUUGGCAACACUGGCCACCACCACCACCACCACCACCACCGCCGCUCCCGCCACCACCACCACCACCACCGCCGCCCCUCCCGCCACCACAUAGACAGUGGGCACUGCAAAGAACC